GUACGGAGGGUGCAAGCGUUAUUCGGAAUCACUGGGCGUAAAGGACGCGUAGGCGGGUUGGCAAGUCAGAUGUGAAAUCCUACAGCUUAACUGUAGAACUGCAUUUGAAACUGCCAACCUAGAGUAUGGGAGGGGGAGAUGGAAUUAGUGGUGUAGGGGUAAAAUCCGUAGAUAUCACUAGGAAUACCGAAAGCGAAGGCGAUCUCCUGGAACAUAACUGACGCUAAGGCGUGAAAGCGUGGGGAGCAAACAGGAUUAGAUACCCUAGUAGUCC
rnacentral:rRNA from 1 species